rnacentral:rRNA from 1 species
GUGGGGAAUUUUGGACAAUGGGCGCAAGCCUGAUCCAGCCAUUCCGCGUGCAGGAUGAAGGCCUUCGGGUUGUAAACUGCUUUUGUACGGAACGAAAAGCCUCUGGUUAAUACCCGGGGGUCAUGACGGUACCGUAAGAAUAAGCACCGGCUAACUACGUGCCAGCAGCCGCGGUAAUACGUAGGGUGCGAGCGUUAAUCGGCAUUACUGGGCGUAAAGCGUGCGCAGGCGGUGAUGUAAGACAGUUGUGAAAUCCCCGGGCUCAACCUGGGAACUGCAGCUGUGACUGCAUUGCUGGAGUGCGGCAGAGGGGGAUGGAAUUCCGCGUGUAGCAGUGAAAUGCGUAGAUAUGCGGAGGAACACCGAUGGCGAAGGCAAUCCCCUGGGCCUGCACUGACGCUCAUGCACGAAAGCGUGGGGAGCAAACAGGAUUAGAAACCCCUGUAGUCC